CGGCCGCGGGAAUUCGAUUAGAGUUUGAUCAUGGCUCAGAUUGAACGCUGGCGGCAGGCCUAACACAUGCAAGUCGAGCGGUAGAGAGAAGCUUGCUUCUCUUGAGAGCGGCGGACGGGUGAGUAAUGCCUAGGAAUCUGCCUGGUAGUGGGGGAUAACGUUCGGAAACGGACGCUAAUACCGCAUACGUCCUACGGGAGAAAGCAGGGGACCUUCGGGCCUUGCGCUAUCAGAUGAGCCUAGGUCGGAUUAGCUAGUUGGUGGGGUAAUGGCUCACCAAGGCGACGAUCCGUAACUGGUCUGAGAGGAUGAUCAGUCACACUGGAACUGAGACACGGUCCAGACUCCUACGGGAGGCAGCAGUGGGGAAUAUCGGACAAUGGGCGAAAGCCUGAUCCAGCCAUGCCGCGUGUGUGAAGAAGGUCUUCGGAUUGUAAAGCACUUUAAGUUGGGAGGAAGGGCAGUAAAUUAAUACUUUGCUGUUUUGACGUUACCGACAGAAUAAGCACCGGCUAACUCUGUGCCAGCAGCCGCGGUAAUACGAAUCACUAGUGAAUUCGCGGCCGCCUGCAGGUCGACCAUAUGGGGAGCUCCCAACGCGUUGGAUG
rnacentral:rRNA from 1 species